rnacentral:rRNA from 1 species
UACGAAGGGGGCUAGCGUUGUUCGGAAUUACUGGGCGUAAAGCGCGUGUAGGCUGUUUCGCAAGUCGGAUGUGAAAGCCCUGGGCUCAACCUAGGAAGUGCACUCGAAACUGCGAAACUGGAGUCCUGGAGAGGAAGGCGGAAUUCUCGGUGUAGAGGUGAAAUUCGUAGAUAUCGAGAGGAACACCGGUGGCGAAGGCGGCCUUCUGGACAGUGACUGACGCUGAGACGCGAAAGCGUGGGGAGCAAACAGG